rfam:Myotis brandtii contig265665, whole genome shotgun sequence.
UAGAGUGAAGCCAGUUGACUAGGGUGUUUAGCUGUUAACUAACAUUUCAUGGGUUUGAAGCCCAUCAGUCUAG